rnacentral:rRNA from 1 species
AUUGAACGCUGGCGGUAUGCCUUACACAUGCAAGUCGAACGGCAGCACAGGUGGUUGCACCUCGUGGCGGGUGCCGGUCGGGGGAGUGUUAGAUAGACACCUGUAUCGACGUUUGCGUUGGGGAGGAGAUAGGCGAAUUAAUACUACUAACGCAUUCCACAUACAGGCGAAAGACCGUCAUGUCCGGCGCUUUCGCGUUGGACGGAGGCGAUGGCGGAUUAGCUAGUUGGCGGGGUAAAGGCCCACCAAGGCGACGAUCAGUAGCUGGUCUGAGAGGACGACCAGCCACACUGGGACUGAGACACGGUCCAGACUCCUACGGGAGGCAGCAGUGGGGAAUUUUGGACAAUGGGCGAAAGCCUGAUCCAGCAAUGCCGCGUGUGUGAAGAAGGCCUUCGGGUUGUAAAGCACUUUUGUCCGGAAAGAAAUGCUGGGCCUUAAUACCGUCGUGUUAUGACGGUACCGGAAGAAUAAGCACCGGCUAACUACGUG